rnacentral:rRNA from 1 species
GAUGAACGCUGGCGGCGUGCCUAAUACAUGCAAGUCGAGCGAACAGACGAGGAGCUUGCUCCUCUGACGUUAGCGGCGGACGGGUGAGUAACACGUGGAUAACCUACCUAUAAGACUGGGAUAACUUCGGGAAACCGGAGCUAAUACCGGAUAACAUGUUGAACCGCAUGGUUCAACAGUGAAAGACGGUCUUGCUGUCACUUAUAGAUGGAUCCGCGCCGCAUUAGUUAGUUGGUAAGGUAACGGCUUACCAAGGCAACGAUGCGUAGCCGACCUGAGAGGGUGAUCGGCCACACUGGAACUGAGACACGGUCCAGACUCCUACGGGAGGCAGCAGUAGGGAAUCUUCCGCAAUGGGCGAAAGCCUGACGGAGCAACGCCGCGUGAGUGAAGAAGGUCUUCGGAUCGUAAAACUCUGUUAUUAGGGAAGAACAAAUGUGUAAGUAACUAUGCACGUCUUGACGGUACCUAAUCAGAAAGCCACGGCUAACUACGUG